AGCUCAGCAUUGGGUUUAAAGCGUGCGCAGGCGGUUUUGUAAGACAGAGGUGAAAUCCCCGGGCUCAACCUGGGAACUGCCUUUGUGACUGCAAGGCUGGAGUGCGGCAGAGGGGGAUGGAAUUCCGCGUGUAGCAGUGAAAUGCGUAGAUAUGCGGAGGAACACCGAUGGCGAAGGCAAUCCCCUGGGCCUGCACUGACGCUCAUGCACGAAAGCGUGGGGAGCAAACA
rnacentral:rRNA from 1 species